rnacentral:rRNA from 1 species
UACGUAGGCAGCGAGCGCUGUUCGGAGUUACUGGGCGUAAAGGGUGUGUAGGCGGUUGUUUAAGUUUGGUGUGAAAUCUCCCGGCUCAACUGGGAGGGUGCGCCGAAUACUGAAUGACUCGAGUGUGGGAGAGGUGAGUGGAAUUCCUGGUGUAGCGGUGAAAUGCGUAGAUAUCAGGAGGAACACCGGUGGUGUAGACGGCUCACUGGACCAUAACUGACGCUGAGACACGAAAGCGUGGGUAGCAAACAGG